AUAGGAAGCUCCAGGUAUGUGGGAGGGUGUGUUAGCUUCCUGUGGUUGCUAUGACGAAUCACCACCAACCUGAUAGCUUCACACAACACAUAUGGACUCUCUCCUAGCUCUGGAGUAGGAUGGUCAGGGAAGACCCUGCUGAGAAGCCACCAUUUGAGCCAAGACUGGAGGAGCUGAGGCUGCGGGCCAGGAUGACAUCGAGGGUGGAGCCUUCCAGGCAAAAAAACAAUCGUGUGAAAGUUUUUCGUCAUGUCCAGGCACCACCUCUUCCCGGUCAGGCCCACGUUACAUACGAGGACAAUGGAACAAGUCAAAGGCAAAGCAACACGUCCCCCUGUAAAAACUGUCAGUGUAACCGUCCACUUCCGUAUCUGUCCAGUCACUUAACAAACAUUGACGGACCACCUUUAAACACAGGCUGCUGUGCUGGUGUCUGGGACACAGCGGUGAGUAAGAGCCAUCUGAUCUCAUGACACUCUCAGGAAGUUCCAGUCUAUGAGGAUGGACAGCAUGCAGGUCAACACAUAAACAUCAUUCAGACUGUGAAAAAUACAACAAAGGACACAGAUUGGGAGAUGGGAUAAAGAGUCAUGGGGGUGGAGCUACUGUCUCAUUUUGGGUGGUCUGGGAAGGCCUCUCUGAGGAGGUGACAUGUGGGCUGAGUCCUGAAGGAUAAGAAGGGGCUGCCAUGGGUGAUUUGAGGGAACAGUGUGCUAGGUGGGAGGAACAGCAAGUGCUAAGGCCAGAGAUCAGGCAGAUCAGAGAUGAGGCCAGGGUAUCUAAGAAGUCAGGAGAGUGCUAAGAGAUGGGGAUGCAGAGACACUGUCAGGUGAAAAAGAAAGAGAAGGGAGCCAGGUGUGGUGGCUGACACCUAUAAUCCCAGCACUUUGGGAGGCAGAG
rnacentral:lncRNA from 1 species